UGAGAUUAUGCAAACUUUGUGCCGUAUGUAGUUGAGGACGAUGGAUAGGGAAUUGGGCAUACCUUGUGAGGAUUUGAGCUUUUAAAUUGUUACUUAAUGCCAAAACAAUUCUUUCUUUAAUUGUGUGAAUUUUGACAUCUUGAUUAAGGGUGAUGCUAGAACUUGCCUUGAUUCUUGGUCGAACCCUGUGUACAUAGUCUAGGUGCGUUGAAUGAUUUAGGCAAAUUCUUUGUUUAGCCCACUGAGCCAAACUGACAAACCCUGAAUCUAUCACUUGCAACCCAUUUUGAGCUUAAUAAUUCUUUUGAAUUCACUUAUAAAUUUGCCUAGAUUUGAGCCGUCCCGGUCAAAACUGAACUUAAGGGCAAAAGGAAGGGAGAAUAGUGUAAUGGAUCCUAUGGGCAGGACUAGUACAAAGAAAGUGCAAAAUGGGAAAUCUAAAUCCCAAAACAGAGAAAAGUCCAGAAAAAGAAAAAGAAAUAAAAAAGGGGAAGGAGAAAAAGAAAAGAAAAAAAAAGAGGAAGAAUAAAGGGAAGAAUGUGCUUAGGCCCGUAAGAAUAGGCAAGGAUCUAAAAAAAAUUCUGAGAAGUCUGUGCCAGAAUGAAGUUCAGUAUGACCUUAGCCUCGUACCAAAAAUUCUCACCUCAUGCCUCAAGCCACAUUACAACCCAUGAAAGACCUAAUGAGAUGCGCCUAGAACUUUGACUAAAGGGGAAGACAUUAGAAGAUAGGCAAGCUUAUGGUCAGAACCCAAUCAAGAUGUCCGGAGUGUAAACACGAGCCUAAACACUUGAGAGAAAGAGUGAAAGGGGAGGAACAUCCUUAUGCCCACAACCCGAUCUUGACUCAACUGAUGGCAAUUUUGAUUGUUUGAUCAAGCUACUUGUU
rnacentral:lncRNA from 1 species